rnacentral:rRNA from 1 species
AGAGUUUGAUCAUGGCUCAGAACGAACGCUGGCGGCAGGCUUAACACAUGCAAGUCGAACGCGUGUAGCAAUACACGAGUGGCGCACGGGUGAGUAACGCGUGGAUAUCUGCCUUUUGGUUCGGAAUAACCCCGGGAAACUGGGGCUAAUACCGGAUGGUUCCUUCGGGAUAAAGAUUUAUCGCCAAAAGAUGAGUCCGCGUACGAUUAGCUAGUUGGUGAGGUAAUGGCUCACCAAGGCGACGAUCGUUAGCUGGUCUGAGAGGACGAUCAGCCACACUGGGACUGAGACACGGCCCAGACUCCUACGGGAGGCAGCAGUGGGGAAUAUUGGACAAUGGGGGCAACCCUGAUCCAGCCAUGCCGCGUGAGUGAUGAAGGCCUUCGGGUUGUAAAGCUCUUUUGGCGGGGACGAUGAUGACGGUACCCGCAGAAUAAGCCCCGGCUAACUUCGUGCCAGCAGCCGCGGUAAGACGAAGGGGGCUAGCGUUGUUCGGAAUUACUGGGCGUAAAGCGAGUGUAGGUGGUUGUCCAAGUUGGAUGUGAAAGCCUUGAGCUCAACUCAAGAAAUGCAUUCAGGACUGGGCGGCUAGAGGACCGGAGAGGAUAGUGGAAUUCCCAGUGUAGUGGUGAAAUACGUAGAGAUUGGGAAGAACACCAGUGGCGAAGGCGGCUAUCUGGACGGUUUCUGACACUAAGACUCGAAAGCGUGGGGAGCAAACAGGAUUAGAUACCCUAGUAGUCC